GAUGAAGAACGUAGCGAAAUGCGAUAAGUAGUGUGAAUUGCAGAAUUCAGUGAAUCAUCGAAUCUUUGAACGCACAUUGCGCCCUUUGGUAUUCCUUAGGGCAUGCCUGUUCGAGCGUCAUUUAAACCUUCAAGCUAAGCUUGGUGUUGGGUGACUGUCCGCUUCACGGCGGACUCGCCUCAAAAUUAUUGGCGGCCGGUACAUUGGCUUCGAGCGCAGCAGAAACGCGAACUCGGGCCCGUCGUAUUGGCUCCCAGAAGCUAUCUUCACAAUUUUGACCUCGGAUCAGGUAGGGAUACCCGCUGAACUUAAGCAUAUCAAUAAGCGAAGGA
rnacentral:misc_RNA from 1 species